rnacentral:rRNA from 1 species
GACGAACGCUGGCGGCGUGCUUAACACAUGCAAGUCGAACGGAAAGGCCCUGCUUUUGUGGGGUGCUCGAGUGGCGAACGCGUGAGUAACACGUGAGUAACCUGCCCUUGACUUUGGGAUAACUUCAGGAAACUGGGGCUAAUACCGGAUAGGAGCUCCUGCUGCAUGGUGGGGGUUGGAAAGUUUCGGCGGUUGGGGAUGGACUGGCGGCUUAUCAGCUUGUUGGUUGGGUAGUGGCUUACCAAGGCUUUGACGGGUAGCCGGCCUGGGAGGGUGACCGGCCACAUUGGGACUGAGGUACGGCCCAGACUCCUACGGGAGGCAGCAGUGGGAAAUAUUGCACAAUGGGCGGAAGCCUGAUGCAGCAACGCCGCGUGCGGGAUGACGGCCUUCGGGGUGUAAACCGCUUUCGCCUGUGACGAAGCGUGAGUGACGGUAAUGAGUAAAGAAGCACCGGCUAACUACGUG